AGUCGAACGAAGUAGCAAUACUUAGUGGCAGACGGGUGAGUAACAUGUAGGUAUCUGCCCUUUGGCCUGGAAUAACACGAGGAAACUUGUGCUAAUACCGGAUAAGUCUUUACGGAGAAAGCUUUAUGCACCAUUGGAUGAGCCUGCACUUGAUUAGUUUGUUGGUGGGGUAAUGGCCUACCAAGACUGUGAUCAAUAGCUGAUUUGAGAGGAUGAUCAGCCACAUUGGGACUGAGACACGGCCCAAACUCCUACGGGAGGCAGCAGUGGGGAAUCUUGCACAAUGGAGGAAACUCUGAUGCAGCGAUGCCGCGUGAGUGAAGAAGGCCUUUGGGUUGUAAAGCUCUUUCGUCGGGGAAGAAAAUGACUGUACCCGAAUAAGAAGGUCCGG
rnacentral:rRNA from 1 species